rnacentral:lncRNA from 1 species
AUCUGUCGCCGUGCGUCAGUAAUGACGUGUCGUAACCGCACACUCAUGCGUUAAGUCGCAGACGUUAAGACGUUUGUGAGUUGAAACCUCGAUUGCUUCCAAUUAUUGCUGCUUUCUGACAAGACAUUCCUUCUCACAGGAGCGUCCUCCAUUACCUCAUACAAAGAAGAGACAUUAUGAAGACAGGAAGAAUGAAUGAAAGCACCUUAUCUGGGAGGAUGCUACACGUGUUGGCGUUGCUGGCUAUCAUGGCGAUGCUAUGUGGUACAGCGCACUCAGAAACCUUUAUUAAAAAGACUACAUUAGACGGACACAUUCAAGAAUGAAAAGCUUACCACAGAGGGCAAUGGGAUUGCGAUGAAACCGUUCGUUGCAGACGACCUAGAGAGAUCAAUGAACGAUGAUCUAGAGAAUAAACAGCCGGUCGACGAGAAACACACGGUAGCGGGCAGGAGAAGCAAAAAUUUUUUGGGGAUCGGUUCUAGAAUGGGUCGAACAUUUCAAGGAUUUGGUAGACAUGGAUUUGGACGCAUGAUGAGGGGAGGAAGACACAUUACUGGAAUGAUACAGGAUAUCUUAAACGGACCCAUGGACAACCUACAAGCUUUCCACACAGGGCACUGGGUUUAUGAACACACCGUUCGUUGCAGACGACCUACAGAGAUCAGAAGUCGGGUUUACAGAGAAUGUCCAUCAGAAUGACGAGAAACACGCCGUAGCGGGCGCGAGAACAGGAGUGAAGCCGAGACAUGCUCCUCAUGCUAUUGGAGCAGGAGUCAGACCAAACACUGCUGCCAAGCAUGUUGCCGUCUAUGCUGAUAAGAAUGAUGAUAAAGAUCUUCUUAAGGAUACUUUGCAUAAAUUUAAAGAUGUUAUUUUGAAAUCUUUUGGCAAAGCUGUUGACAAGGCUUUUAGCUACAUAAACUCCUUAUAAACACACCGUACGUUGCAGACGACCUCGAGAGAUCAGAGGUCGGUUAUAGAGAGAAUGAUCAGAAUGAAGAGAAUCUCAAGGUAGUUGCCGGGCGAAGAAUAGCAGAGACAAAACUGUUUCUUGGAGGACACAAAGUAGGACCAUUAAUAAAGAGCUUUGUUAAGGCGAUAAAGAAUAUGCACAAUAACCGCUAUCAGAGGGCGUCGUUACACGGACGCAUCAACAAAGAAAAGUUUUCCAAAGACAGCAGGCAUAUUGUCAACACACCGUUUGUUGCAGAGGACCUAGAGAGAUUAGCGGAUGAUGACAGAGAGCGAACGGUCGGCAGAUAAGUAACAGAAAGUAGCGUAAGGGAGAAGAAGAGCUCAUGAAAAACUUUAUCUCUGAACAUACAGGGAAAUCAAAAGAUGAGACCUUAGCAAUACAACUUUAAAAGAGACGAAGAAAUUAUUAUUAGACAAUCUGUCUGAGAUGAUACCAUUACACAGAAACAGCAAAGAUAAGAAACCUCCCACUGGUUUUAUUCGUUAAUAAAUGUAAGACCGAGAAGACAGCCUUGCCGCCUGGACUGCUAAUAGUCGCCAAUAAACGUCUUUAUGCGUCUUCUUAAAUAAGCAGUCUAACUAGACGACAGAAAAUUUUGAGAGGACACUACAACUCCUACGACAUCAAGAAUCAAGAAAUAUACAAAAAUUUAGAAAAAAUGAAAAGUCAGACUCCUGUGAGAGACAAGACCACAAGUCAGAUGAAGAAAAUCCUAUGAAGUUUGGUCUUCUUGUUUGUAUUAGACUUUUACGAUGUUGAUAACUUUAGGAAUUUAAGCCAGGUAGGGAUAAUGAUAUGAAACGGGAAAUAUUGUUCAUUUGCCAUAUGAAACGCAUGUACAGUGGGAGAAGGUGAGCGUUUGUUGACGCAUGGCUCAUUUACUCCCAGAGGACAGUUUUGGUCGCAAGAUCCAACAAAUGCGAUGGCAACCUCACACCGGAAGUCUCAAGAAAAAGAAACUUGGAAAAUAAUAAACUAUCACACUGGAUGACAUUUACUGCCACUAGCUUUUCACAGAGCAUGAGGACCUUUCAGUUUGAUCACUAAUAAUAAUUAAACAUUGAUAAAUUCAGUGCUAUAAGCAUCUGCAUCCAUUUGGUUUUCGAUGCAGACGAGGCAUGUAGUUAUCCCUGCUUGUCUUCUCUUGUCUCAGAAAAGAAAAACAUUGGCGUUUGUGUUGCUAAAAUUUUGUUUUUAGUCUUGUUUACCUUCGAAAUAAAGAUGGAAAUGUAA